AGCGUAGACGGUGUGGCAAGUCUGAUGUGAAAGGCAUGGGCUCAACCUGUGGACUGCAUUGGAAACUGUCAUACUUGAGUGCCGGAGGGGUAAGCGGAAUUCCUAGUGUAGCGGUGAAAUGCGUAGAUAUUAGGAGGAACACCAGUGGCGAAGGCGGCUUACUGGACGGUAACUGACGUUGAGGCUCGAAAGCGUGGGAGCAAACA
rnacentral:rRNA from 1 species